rnacentral:misc_RNA from 1 species
CAGCAGAACCGUGAGAUGCUCAAGAUCAUUUUCAAGGCAGGCUACCAGUACCAGGGGCGCUACGGGCAUCUGGAGUACGCACAAUUGUUCGUCGAGCGUGCCUAUGAGCUUACCCGAUCCGCAACCUCCGCGAUCGCUUACGUGCUGCCUCGUCAGUUUCUGGUAUUAUCCGGCUGGUCCGAACUUCGAGAGAUC